rfam:Salmo salar isolate Sally breed double haploid chromosome ssa12, whole genome shotgun sequence.
CGUACUCACUACUGUAAGUCGCUCUGGAUAAGGGCGUGUGCUAAAUGAAUUAAA